UACGAACUGUGCAAACGUUAUUCGGAAUCACUGGGCUUAAAGGGCGCGCAGGCGGCCGAGCACGUCCGUUGUGAAAUCGCCUGGCUCAACUGGGCGGGGUCAGCGGAUACGGCUAGGCUGGAGCAAGCUAGGGGGCAAUGGAAUUCCCGGUGUAGUGGUGGAAUGCGUAGAUAUCGGGAGGAACACCAGUGGCGAAGGCGGUUGCCUGGAGCUUUGCUGACGCUGAGGCGCGAAAGCGUGGGGAGCGAUCCGG
rnacentral:rRNA from 1 species